AAUGAACGUUGGCGGCGUGGAUUAGGCAUGCAAGUCGUGCGGAAAGGCCCCGCAAGGGGUACUCGAGCGGCGUAAGGGAUAGUAAUGCGUGGAUUACCCACCCUCCGGCCUGGGAUAGCUGCGGGAAACUGCAAUUAAUACCAGAUAACGUCUCCGGACCAAAGGUGUGAUUCCGUCAGAGGAUGGGUCCACGUCCUAUUAGCUAGUUGGUAGGGUAAAGGCCUACCAAGGCUACGAUGGGUAGCGGGUGUGAGAGCACGACCCGCAUCACUGGGACUGAGACACUGCCCAGACACCUACGGGUGGCUGCAGUCGAGAAUCUUCGGCAAUGGGCGAAAGCCUGACCGAGCGACGCCGCGUGCGGGAUGAAGGCCUUCGGGUUGUAAACCGCUGUCAGUGGGGAGGAGAUGUCGGAGGGUUCACCCUCCGGCUUGACCUAUCCGCAGAGGAAGUACGGGCUAAGUUCGUGCCAGCAGCCGCAGUAA
rnacentral:rRNA from 1 species